AAGCUCAUUUCUUUCGUUUCGGUUGUCACUAUUCCUCGUCUUACGAAAUCCGAGCCGAUCGGAUUACCACCCUUUCACGCCUUCCAAUUUCUUUCAUCUGGUUU
rnacentral:misc_RNA from 1 species